GAGUGAUCGAAAGAUGAAAAGCACUUUGAAAAGAGAGUUAAAAAGCACGUGAAAUUGUUGAAAGGGAAGCGUUUGCGAUCAGACUCGCCGACGGGGUUCAGCCUGCCUUCGGGCAGGUGUACUUCCCCGCCGGCGGGCCAGCGUCGGUUUGGGUGGCCGGUCAAAGGCCCUAGGAAUGUAACGCCUCUCGGGGCGUCUUAUAGCCUAGGGUGUCAUGCGGCCUACCCGGACCGAGGAACGCGCUUCGGCUCGGACGCUGGCAUAAUGGUCGUAAACGACCC
rnacentral:rRNA from 1 species